UACGUAGGGUGCAAGCGUUAUCCGGAAUUAUUGGGCGUAAAGAGCUCGUAGGCGGUUUGUCGCGUCUGCUGUGAAACCGGAGGCUCAACCUCCGGCCUGCAGUGGGUACGGGCAAACUAGAGUGCGGUAGGGGAGAUUGGAAUUCCUGGUGUAGCGGUGAAAUGCGCAGAUAUCAGGAGGAACACCGAUGGCGAAGGCAGGUCUCUGGGCAUUAACUGACGCUGAGGAGCGAAAGCAUGGGGAGCGAACAGG
rnacentral:rRNA from 1 species